UGGGGAAUCUUGGACAAUGGGCGCAAGCCUGAUCCAGCCAUGCCGCGUGAGCGAUGAAGGCCUUAGGGUUGUAAAGCUCUUUCACCGGUGAAGAUAAUGACGGUAGCCGGAGAAGAAGCCCCGGCUAACUCCGUGCCAGCAGCCGCGGUAAUACGGAGGGGGCUAGCGUUGUUCGGAAUUACUGGGCGUAAAGCGCACGUAGGCGGACCAGAAAGUUGGGGGUGAAAUCCCGGGGGCUCAACCCCGGAACUGCCUCCAAAACUAUUGGUCUAGAGUUCGAGAGAGGUGAGUGGAAUUCCAAGUGUAGAGGUGAAAUUCGUAGAUAUUUGGAGGAACACCAGUGGCGAAGGCGGCUCACUGGCUCGAUACUGACGCUGAGGUGCGAAAGUGUGGGGAGCAAACAGGAUUAGAUACCCUGGUAGUCCACACCGUAAAACGAUGAAUGCCAGUCGUCGGGUAGCAUGCUAUUCGGUGACACACCUAACGGAUUAAGCAUUCC
rnacentral:rRNA from 1 species